AUGAAUGCUGGCGGCGUGGAUAAGGCAUGCAAGUCGAGUGGGUUUAGACCCACGGCAGACGAGGUAGUAACACGUAGGAAUCUACCCUAGAGUCGAGCAUAUUCCAUCGAAAGAUGGCGCAAUUCUCGAUAGUCACUAAGGUGUAAAGGAGCAAUUCGCUCUAGGAGGAGCCUGCGUAAUAUCAGCUAGUUGGUGAGGUAAUGGCUCACCAAGGCUAUGACGUUUAGGGGAGCUGAGAGGCUGACCCCCACCGAUGGAACUGAGAUACGGUCCUUACUCCUACGGGAGGCCGCAGUCGAGAAUCUUCCGCAAUGGACGAAAGUCUGACGGAGCGACGCCGCGUGGUGGAUGAAGUCCUUCGGGACGUAAACACCUUUUAUGAGGGAUGAAGUUUUGACAGUACCUCAUGAAUAAGGGGCUCCUAACUCUGU
rnacentral:rRNA from 1 species